CAAUGCAAAUGCUCUCUCUUCCUGUAGAGAUGUAUAUAAUUUUCAGAAGAUAUCACUAAAAGUUACAGUUUCAUUUCCCUGGAGGACAUUAACCAGGUCGAAUGGGUUUCUGUUCCUCACAACCAAAGAAAUCUUGUCUUAGAUGGACACUGAAAAGGAGCGUUCAAUUAAGCAUCAAACAAGAAGAAACAUGGAACAUAGUCCUCUACCAACAGAAAUUGUACAGCUGAAUUCCCUGUGCUUGAGGAAAUUGCAGGGGUCAGAAUGACCUGAAUGCAAUAGAUGAGCCUCACCCUGAGAGAACUACCUUCAUGAUCAUGCUAUCUGUCCUGCCAGUUGGCAUCUUGAAGAAUCCCUUAUGACUACUUAACAUAAGGGGGGAAAAAAGAAGCCUGAUUUCCAGAAGGUUCUGCAUGACAUGAUGGUGCUGGCCAGAAGUGGACUGCUAAUAAACACAUGAAAAGAUAUACUCAAUAGCAUUAAUCAUCAAGGAAAUGCAAAUCAAACCCACAUGAGAUACCACUUCAUACUGACGAAGACAGCUGUCAUCAAAAAGUCAGGUAAGGAGGUGGAGAAAUCAGAACCCUCAUAUACCGCUGAAGGGAAUGUACAUUGUUGCAGCUGCUUUGGAAAAUAGUCUGGCAGUUCCUCAAAUGACUAAACACAGAGUUACCAUGAGACCUAGGGAUUUCACUCCUAUGUAUAUACCUAAGAGAAAUGAAAACAUUUGUUUACCCAAAUGUUUAUUUGAGCACCAAAUGUUUAUAUGAAUGUUUAUAGGAGCACUAUUUAUAAUAGCCAAAAUGUAAAAACAAUUUAAAUGUCCAUCAACUGAAGAAUGGAUAAACAAAAUGUGAUGCAUUCACGUACUGAAAUAUUAUUCAGCCACAGAAAGAGGUGAGGUACUGA